AUUGAACGCUGGCGGCAUGCCUUACACAUGCAAGUCGAACGGCAGCACGGGUGCUUGCACCUGGUGGCGAGUGGCGAACGGGUGAGUAAUACAUCGGAACGUACCUUAUCGUGGGGGAUAGCGCAGCGAAAGCUGUGCUAAUACCGCAUACGCCCUGAGGGGGAAAGCGGGGGAUCGCAAGACCUCGCGCGAUUAGAGCGGCCGAUGCCUGAUUAGCUUGUUGGUGGGGUAAAAGCCCACCAAGGCGACGAUCAGUAGCUGGUCUGAGAGGACGAUCAGCCACGCUGGGACUGAGACACGGCCCAGACUCCUACGGGAGGCAGCAGUGGGGAAUUUUGGACAAUGGGGGCAACCCUGAUCCAGCAAUGCCGCGUGAGUGAAGAAGGCCUUCGGGUUGUAAAGCUCUUUUGUCAGGGAAGAAACACCGGCUCUAACACAGUCUGGGAAUGACGGUACCUGAAGAAUAAGCACCGGCUAACUACGUGCCAGCAGCCGCCGUAA
rnacentral:rRNA from 1 species